AUGCAGGAGAGUAGCAUGAACGCAGUGUGAAGACAGAGUGAAGAGUGAAAGCACUGCAGGAAAGCAACGUGGUGGAGGCGUGGGCUAGUGCUGUCUGGUCUCCUGGCUGCUCUGUGUUUGAAGGUUCUUUACCAAACGAGGUUUCCACAGUUGUCAUGUUGUUUAAGAAGAAACCUAUAGUCCAAUGACCCAAUAUGGCAGCCAUAUUAGAACAGGA